AACAAACGCUGGCGGCGUGCCUAAUACAUGCAAGUCGAACGGGGUAGCAAUACCUAGUGGCGCACGGGUGAGGAACGCGUGGAUAAUCUGCCUUAGAGUGGGGGAUAACUAGUCGAAAGAUUAGCUAAUACCGCAUAAGACCACAGGAGCUGCGGCUCUAGGGGUCAAAGGUUUUUCGCUCUGAGAUGAGUCCGCGUAAGAUUCGCUAGUUGGUGAGGUAACGGCUCACCAAGGCAACGAUCUUUGACUGGUCUGAGAGGAUGAUCAGUCACACUGGAACUGAGACACGGUCCAGACUCCUACGGGAGGCAGCAGUAGGGAAUAUUGCACAAUGGAGGAAACUCUGAUGCAGCGACGCCGCGUGAGUGAUGAAGGCCUUCGGGUCGUAAAGCUCUGUCGCAGGGGAAUAACACAAUGAAUGUACCCUGUAAGAAAGGAUCGGCUAACUUCGUGCCAGCAGCCGCGGUAACAC
rnacentral:rRNA from 1 species